rnacentral:rRNA from 1 species
AGGGGCAGCAUUUUAGUUUGCUUGCAAACUGAAGAUGGCGACCGGCGCACGGGUGAGUAACACGUAUCCAACCUGCCGAUAACUCCGGGAUAGCCUUUCGAAAGAAAGAUUAAUACCGGAUAGCAUACGAAUAUCGCAUGAUAUUUUUAUUAAAGAAUUUCGGUUAUCGAUGGGGAUGCGUUCCAUUAGUUUGUUGGCGGGGUAACGGCCCACCAAGACUACGAUGGAUAGGGGUUCUGAGAGGAAGGUCCCCCACAUUGGAACUGAGACACGGUCCAAACUCCUACGGGAGGCAGCAGUGAGGAAUAUUGGUCAAUGGGCGAGAGCCUGAACCAGCCAAGUAGCGUGAAGGAUGAAGGCUCUAUGGGUCGUAAACUUCUUUUAUAUGGGAAUAAAGUUUUCCACGUGUGGAAUUUUGUAUGUACCAUAUGAAUAAGGAUCGGCUAACUCCGUGCCAGCAGCCGCGGUAAUACGGAGGAUCCGAGCGUUAUCCGGAUUUAUUGGGUUUAAAGGGAGCGUAGGUGGAUUGUUAAGUCAGUUGUGAAAGUUUGCGGCUCAACCGUAAAAUUGCAGUUGAAACUGGCAGUCUUGAGUACAGUAGAGGUGGGCGGAAUUCGUGGUGUAGCGGUGAAAUGCUUA